CUAAAUCCACUGCCAGAUUCCCCAGUCGUCUCGGCAAAUGUGCCACGUCAAGACUGGAUAUCGCACACUGGCCCACCGGCCGCAGCCCUGAGAGAGAGAGAGCGCGAGAGACCGAGACACAGCUCCCCUCCAUGCAGACAGGGCAGGACAGAGCCGGGGACGAACCGCCACCAGGACGGGGCGGCAGGAUGACGGGGGGCACACUACUGCAAGGGGGGCAGGGGCAGGGGAGGUCUGUUUGCUGUGAGAAGAUGGGGCAGCUGCAGUCCCUCGCGCGCUGGUGUUAAAAGCAGAGGAAAGAUACACAAUCCCCAGAUGACAGACCUCAAUUGGCGUGCCAUGGAAAAGACGGCCAGAACCCAUCACCACCUCUUUGGAAAGACUGCCCCUUGCUCAUUAAGAGGGACGCCAUCCAUGGAAAUCCACUUCUAUCUCACUCCAGCUAAUGACCUGCCAUUCUCUCUAUCAAGGACAGCUCAGAUGUUCAUUCCUUUAUUGACAUCAAUUGUAAUGCUUUCAAGCUGUAGCUUAGUGCAAGGUGGUCCCUCAAUGACACCACACAGAGCAUGCAGCCCACUACGCCCCCCCUUCCCUAAUAAUGCUCAGUUCAAAGACCACUCCCUAGUAUUUUUCUUACAACCCUCUUAUCUAACCAUAGAGUUUGGAGUUAAAAUUCCAACUCAUUUGCAGUUUACUUGAGUACAUGCGCAUAGCCAUCUUUCCAGGAUUAAGAGGAAUACCACUCAUUCUCACAAUCAGAACAAAGCUAAAUCUUCUAAAGAGUACUGUAUAACGUUUCAUGCCAUUCUGUAAUAAGAAGAGUAAUAGUAAGUCUCAUAUGCAGUAAAAAUCCAUUAUGCACCUUGUACAUCAUUUUCACUCUCAUGAGGUCACCAGCCUGGGUCACACAAGGGCUGGAGAGACUAAACACCUCUGAAGCCUCAGAGAAAGCAAGUGAGGAUGGUGAAGAGAGUGAAGGAGAGACAGAACACAUGAAGAAAAGAGUGAUGACAGGAAGAUACAGUUCUAGACAGAGUGAAGAGUAGUAGCAAACAGCGAU